rnacentral:lncRNA from 1 species
CUUAAAUGGAAAUGAAAACCAUUCCUAUUUCAUUGGAGUUCUUAGAAGGUUAAAAAAUACAUGUAAAAUUAUAUGAUUGUAUGAUAUCAAUAUGUCUCUAAAAAAAGUCAGUUAUGUUGUACUGCACUAAAAAAUAUCAGGCAAGUUAUAAAAUGGGUUACACAAUGUGCUCUCUCAUUCAGAUUUGAAAAUCUAAAGUACUUGCAAAUUCUUAAGAACACUACCAGAACACUUGCAGCCCUUCCUUACGCUUCUUUCUCCUGGAGUGCACCAAUACAAUCACCUGUAAACUAAAGAUUAGGCACCCUGAGCACAAUUUCCUGAAAUAACUCAGAAGACUGCCACCAGGAUCAUGCUGAGAUCUCCUGAUACCAGCUUUGAUGGCUAAGAUGUCCUCAAAGAAAAAAAAUGCAUGUUUGCAACAAUGCUGAUUCUUAUCUGAAACCUCAUUUUUCUCUUUUUAGACUAUAAAACUCCCUGCAAUUCUUCCCUAAGAGAGGA